GUAGGAACACUAUGGUUGGUUGGACUUGUUGCUCCAUUUGGCUAUUGCUUCCAAGUGUGGGAAAAAUCUGCUUGAGUUAUUUCAAGGAACAAAUAUUCCAGUCAGUGAGAUAAUACAUACAUGCAUACAAGGGCUGGGGAUGUAUUCCCAUGCAAAGGCCCUGGGUUCAAUCCCUAGUGCAGCCAAAAACCAAAACCCAAAACCAAACAAAAUAGAGAGAGAGAAAGAGAGAGAGAGAGAGAGAGAGAGGAACACAAAGGUUGACCGUCAUGGCCCUGUCAGGCUAGUUCCUUCUUCCUGCCGCAAGGUGCUGUGCAGCGCAAGCUGUGUUCUCAGCAGCUUGCGUACACAGAGGCACAGUGGCUCUAUAAGGCUGUCAUUCUCUGAGUUACUUUUAUCUAUGAAAACAUGGGCUGAAGGUCAGUGCCUCCCAAUUGCUUCUGCACAAACCAGGGCCUCUAGGUCACUGGGACUGGCAUCCUCUCCUCACAAAUUCUGGGCCUGUCCUUCCCUUAAAACCACUCUUCCAUUUUGGGUGGCUGCUGGACCAAAUAGCUAGAAACACAUUAUCUCUAGAAAAUGUGUUCUUUUUCUCAUUUUCAGUGUAAGCCUGGUUUAUGGGAAUAAUCAUGAGAGAAAGAAUGGCCAGCAGGAAGCAGUAGCCUUGGGCUCAGGGUGAAGCCCUUGGUUUUAUUCUGUGGGUUUUCUGCUAUGCCUGCUUCACAGGAUACUGAUGAGGUUAAAUAAUUAAUGCAUGUGAAUGUACUUUGUAAGCUCCAAAGCACUGCAGGAGUAUAAUUAAUUAUGUUUAUAAUUACAGGUAAUGUAAUUAUAAUUGCAAUUACUUUGUGGGUGGAAGCAGGUAUAUACAUUCCCAUUCUACAGUAGGAUACCCUUGGUGGAUAUCCUUGGUUAGAUUAUCCAUUUAUAUAUUUGGGCUCAACUCACUCUCUCUGACUUUAUUUUUAACAAUGAUGAAACACCUGAGACUUUAGCAUGAGGAAAUCCUUCACAGAGUGAGGCUGGGGGAUCUAACACUUUGGUAGUAAUAUUCUUGGGCACUUUCCAUCAUGUAGAUAAAAUUGAGGCAAUUUACUAGCUUACUUGUAUACAACAAUGAUAGUUGCAGAGAUCCUAUAGUUAAACACAAAAAUAUGACAUACACAUAUAUGUAUUAUUUCUAUGAUUGAUAUAUAAUUUGUAUAUUGCUUAAAAUAAGAAUUUCAGAAAAUCACUAUAAUCUACUAUAGUCUAAAAUGAUUGUGUAAUUGCUAAAUUGUUCUAUAUUUCAGGCAGUACUUAUUUAUACUAAGCUAAAAUAUAAUGUAUUUUGCUUGUUUAGCAAAAUUAAUAAGCUUAAUAAAGUGUCAGGUGGUUGCUAAGUUCCUUCCAUUAACAUGCUUAACCUUAGAAAAUGAAUGUUUGGAGCCACAAAAUGCAGCAUGUGCUAAAGGAAGGUGAUCCAGUGCUCCGAAUCUGCUUGGUCCAUCAAGAAAUCUGAACUGUUAAUAUGUACUAGAGUCAUAGUUGAUGUUUUUCCCAUUUGAAAAGUCAUGGCGAUGGCCAGAUAUACAUUUCCCAGGAAGCAUUCUUCCGGAGUCUCCCUGUUUGAAAUGGCAAGAUUCUGCUCGAGAAGCUAAACAUCGUAUUUCUUUGGAGUCUCUGACCUGCUGCCAUUGUUUCUUAUGCACUGUUAAUUGUUGUUAAUUUCUAACACAUCAUUAAUUAUUUGCCAUUAAAGAUGUGGGAGACGGAAAUGCCCUUCACUCAUGGGUGAUCACACGAAUGAACCAUUAAUAAUUACAAAAAGUGUGUUACUUUAUACGUGAGAAGUGAAUUUGAGCCAUUUUCAUGGACUUCACCAUAUCUCUUAUGGCUGAGCUGUGACACAAGGUCACUGUGGGCGGGGGCAUUAUGAAAGACCUACUCCGGCUAAGGAAGAAGCUUCUGUAAUGACUGUAACAUUUGGCCUCUACAGCAUGAUGCACAUUUCUGAGAACUUUUUGUUUUUGCAACUUUUUCCUCCUUUGUGAGAGGAGCCUAGAGGUGAAAUAGUUUCCUCUGAUGUCACAGCCCAAGUCAGGCACACAAUUAGUACUUAAAGUGGAGCUCCCAACUCCCACUCCCAUUCAGCUACCAGGCUGUGCUGGGAGGUCAGCAGCGGGGCCCGGAGACUUCCACUCCCUCCUCAGGAUUUCUGAGAGCUCGAGUCAAGGCCAUUCUCCUGACACUGGGCUCCCAAUCUGUAAGAAAAAAUACCCGAUUGCCAGAUACAGUUGAAAUUUUUAUGUAAGUGCCUUCCUCGAAAGCCCGGAGAUUCUUCUACAAGUUUAUAGCAAUAUUAAGCAUUAGACAUUACAUUGGAAAAAAGUAUCAGAUCCAGUCUUUAGGUUUAAUCACCCAGUAGAAAAACGUUAGAAUGCUGACAAAGGUUUGGAACAAGCCAGUGAAAAAAUAUUUUAUUGAUGCAGAUAUCAGCAGUGAAAUCAAGAUAGCUUAGAUUUUAUAGUUUAAACUUAGAGUUAUUGCAAGGAUAAUACUAUUUUAAAAGGUUUUAUUUUUGUAUUCACUAUGCAUGUAUACAUUAUGCAGUUCAUAGUGUCCACAUUCCUUAUGGGGAGGUGGUGCAUGUACAUAACACAUCUUAAUUCUUUUUCUCUCAUCCUUUUCCCCUCUACACCCUCCCUCCAUCUCUGAUUUCUUUCCCAUUUGAGAAAGCUCUAUCUUCCUACUAACUAUAGUCUAACUUGUGUUUUGCUCCUUAUUUAUAUUUUGAGUUUCUCAUAUAAGAGAAACCAUGUGGUAUUUAAGCUUGGGUAUGUGAGUUAUUUCACUUAACAUUAUGGUCUCAAGGUCAAUCCAUUUUCCUACAAAUGAUUCGAGUUUAUCAAGCAUAGUAUUUUUUUUUUUAUCAAGGAUAGUAUUUUGAAGAUGACAAUUCUUUCUCUGUUUUGUUAAUAAAAGGACAGAGUCAGAGAAAAUCAAGAGAUCCUUCAGCUAUCGAUUUGAGAAUUAUGUCACUUGGUGGUGGGGCUUUAUAGUUUCGUAUUUUGGUUCUGUUCAUCAUCUUGACUGUGUUGUCAAGAGCAAAAGCAGAAUCUUCUCAUUCUUCCCAUUCCUUCCUCUUCUUUUUGCUUUGUGCUAGCCUAUGGGCAGGUCAGAGGGGAUAACUUUCUGCUUCCUGGUGUAGACUGAAAGUGGGUAAACCAGAUAGCUUGGGGCUACAGGGGACAUCAUGGACAGGUUGGAAGUCUGAACAAUGGCCUGAUUCUUAGAAACCCAUUUACCCUCCAGAGUUCCCAUUCUUUCUCACCUGUAAAGUGAAGCACUUAAAGAUUAACUCUGAAGGAUUAUUAGGUUAGAGUCUAAGGUCUAAAUUUUUCUGUAUUGUCCUCCUAUCAUUUUAACCAUUUCGUUUUAUUGCUACACAAUAAUCUAUGCCCAGAAAAUACUACAUUUUAUUUAUUCCCUCCCUUAUUAAUGUAUAUUUAGGCUGUUGAAAGUUUUUCUAUAAAAGUAAUGCUGCAAUAAACAUUUUUCUACAGAUCUCUUACAUGUAUCUGUAAAAAUUUUUCUAGAGUUUCAAUUUUUUAAAAUGGUGCCAAAUUAACCUCAAAAGUAACUAUACCAAGUUACCAAUCUUCAUUCCCUUCACUGCUACUCACAUAAACUGCAAUGAGGGAGCUGCCACUUUAUCACAACUAACUUCAUCUCUGUUCCCACUGCUUUCUUUCAGAUCUUUCCCAUCAGUCCUGGGGCUCUUUGAUAGGAAGCAAAUGGAGAGAGCCUACCUUGAAAUCAUGUUUUGCCCAACUUUUUUGUCUCUGACCUAAAUGUUUAUUUUCUGAAGGGGCUAGGCUUUGGAAAUACACAAGGCGUGAAAAGAAUUGUUCUGCUUAAUAUUUUCUCUUUCCUUUAGUUAAAGAGUACAGAUAGGUCUAGCUACUUGAGAAAGGGAGAAGAAAGAUCAAGAGGGGAGAAAGAAAUAUCAGAGAAAAAAAUCAGAUCAUAUUUUAAAAAUAUAUUUAAAAAUUUGUAUCCUUUAAAAUAAUGAAUGUAACAAUUUGAUUUUAUUAAAAAUAAUAAAAUUGCAUGAAACUUAAACUCUCUUGCACAGGGAAAUCUCUUACAUAGGGCCAUUGUUUUCAUCACACUCAUUAUUUCUGUAUUAUGGGAUAAUAUUCUAUUAUUUGUGUGUUUUAUAUUUCCUGUAGGAAGGCAAUGGUCUAGAAUUUUGUAGACCAGCUGGAUACAUGUCCAAGCAGGGAUAUGACAAGAGGAAAUCCAAGAAACACUUAGAAGGAGGAGUGUGAAUGAAGUGGGAAAUAGGGACAAAAAGCUCAGGAGGAGCUAAGCCAGGGAAUAAGAAGAAUGUCUAUUCCGUUGAUAAGCAAUGGGAGAGAACUGUGGCUUGGGAUGACAAGUGGAAGAUGAUGAAUUCGAAUUGGGCAGUACAGAAUAUUCCCAAGAGAUAUUCAUGCUGAGAGAUUUUCUUUUCCUCUAAAACUAAAGCCAAGUGGACCAAUGCUUUUGUUGUGUUACUCUGUAUUCUACAGAGACACUAUACAAUGUGGUCUAUUUCUCUUACCCAUUUCAAGUGUCAGCUAUCCUCCUUCAGCCUUCAGCCUUCUGCUGGUACUGUGCAUUUCAUUCUCAUCUCAAAUCCUAAACAUUUGAUCUUUGCAUAUGAGUGUGCAUGCACACCCAUCCUCCGAGGAAGGGUCAACUUUCUUCUGUGUUCCUGGAACUACCUCCUACUAACUUUACCCGAGAGCAUCUUUGCAUGUGGGUGGCCUUAUCACACACAUUUCCUAUAUCUCAGGCAAAGUAAGUUACCUCUUUUCCAGGUGAGUGUUCUACUGGGGGUUUCUGGUUGCCUCAGUAGAAUAAAUCCCAACUCCUCCUUUUUAUCUCCAUAGCACAUGGGUAUUCCUUGCCCCAUUCAAAAUUUUGGAAAAAUAAAUUAUUCAGACAAUUUUAUUCAGUUCCCCAACUUUCACGUCCCACCACACCAAGACUAGAGAUACCUCAGUGCUGACUGCUCAGUUCUGCCCAGCAGCCAGAGGAAAAUAAAACAAGGUUAUUUGAAACACUUUUUUAAACAGACUGCUCUGAGAUAUCAGUGAUGUCCUGUUUCUAGGACAAAGAAUUAUUGCUGCGAUCUCAUAGUUGCUCUUUUCAAGGACUCGGGUGUAAAGGUUAUGAAGAGCUAUUCAAACUCAUUUAUUUCUAGUUCACUUCUCACUUCCUGAACUGCCUUUCAAUGUGCAAUGGAACUUCUGUUCAGUCUUAGGCCAGUUAAUGCCACAGAGGCUCCCAAGAUUGUACAAAUGAGGGUUUAUUCAUUUCUUUACCUCUUCAGCCAACAUUUCUUGAGGACCUUGGCAUGCUAAGCACACAUCCAUAUAGAUGCUGAAGGUCAAAGACAUCCUGAGAAAUGCAACCUGGAGUGGACCCCGACUGCAAACAACUGGCUAUGGCCAACUUGAUACAAAUUGACCAUUAUUUGCUUUGUUUCUUUUUUCUAUAUUUCUCAUUCUUUUUUCUCUUUCUCGUUUUUGGUAUGCUUUCUCUUUUUCAUUAUCUUAUAUAUAUUAUAUUCAAAAGGCCAACUUUGUCCUUUCUUGUUUCCUCUACUUAUUCCACAGUAGAAAUAUUUAUCGAUGGAUGAAAGACAAACCACUACCCUGUCCAACUCAAGGUCAUGGUUGCAUUUUUAAGCAUUCUAGAACAUACCAGAAGAAUGGGGAAAAAAGUGUGUAAACUAUUUAAUGAGUAAAUAAAACUAUUGGAAAAAGAAUAAGGGUUUAUGGCUUAGAAAGAAGGCCCAUAUUUUUUGAACAAAAAGCCAGCUCCUGGAUUAGUCAAGACUGGCUGGGUUUUGUUGUAGUAAUAAACAACAUCCAAAUGUCAGUGGCUUAAUCCAACAAAAGUUUAUUUGUUGUUGAUGCUACAUGUCCAACAUGGUCCUCUUGAGGUCCUGUUGAGGAAUCCAGGUUACCAAGUACUCAGUCAUCUCAAUUCCUACCUCCAAGAUCACUUGCAGGGAAGGAGGGAGACGGAGGUUCUUCUGUUGACAAUCAAAUGUGUUGGCCUGGAAGUGGCACAUAGUAGCUCAGCUCACAGAGACAUACAAAGUCACAUGGCCUAUCCAACUGCAAAGCACCUAAACAGCAAGCCUCUAAAUGACUGGAAGGAGAGGAUGCCUUACUCUUUGUGAAACUAGUAGUGUCCACUACAGCAAUCAGGAUGACCAAGAUGAAAGUGAAGUCUAUGAAAAAUCCUCAAUGUCUGAUUGCUAUGCUUGAAGGAUAAGUGCAGAACAAGUGUCUUAUGAUUUGCAACAAAAGGGUUCACUCCUAACCUCUCCAUCUACUGUGUUGCAAAUGGGUUUUUUUUGGCUACCCAGCCCCUUGCAGCCUCAUGGCACCCUCUUCCAUGGAUCCCUGUUUGUGAAGGGACCAUCUUAAACUUAUCCUUUUAUCUAAUAAAAUAUCAAUCUUAAAUUACUAAGAAAAUUCAACCCUAAGAUAAUGCUCUUAAUUUACUCCUUUAAUUAAGGGAAGCAUGAAGUUUGUAAGUCUUGGGCCAUUAGGAAGCAUAAAUGUUGUGAGCCAAGGCUGGGAGGCCAUCUCUCCCCUUUGACAGUGUGGUGAAGCGAGGCUGCCCACCAGGGUGUCAAGGGUGACAGGAUAGCUCUAUCUAUUGAGGCCACCAACCUGAACACAUAGCCAAGUGCAUCACCUCCCUCGGACGCAUUCUCUCAAAGUGAAAUUAACUUUAUGAGGUGUGCAGUUGUAAAGGCUUUUUAGAGGGUUUCACAUAAUGUCCCAGGAGUUUUUAGACAAGUGACUUUUGGGUAGCUGUAAACUAAUUAGCAUACACUUCUAGACUUCCAGAAACCCCCAAAGAUCAAGGUCCUAAGUGUUAUGCACUAAGAGUGGGUACAUGGACAUGACUGACCUCUUGAUGAGGGUCAGUCUAAAAGAGGAGAAAGCUGAGAAAAUCAGCCUGACACAGUUAUAGUAGUUAAGAACCUAAACUCCAAAUCCAGGCUGAUUAUGAGUUUGAGUCUUAGCUUUCCACUUAUAAGCACAUAUGAGCUUGAACAAGUUAUGUAACAUCUUUAAGCUUUAAUUUCUCAUAUGAUGAGGAUUAAAAUAGUAUUUUUCUCACAUGCUGAUAGCACAGGAUGGUGAUAGCACAGGACCUGGCUCAUUCUAAGCAGUCAGAAUACAUUAAGUAUUACCAGUUUCUGUGAUUUUCAAUAUUGUUCAGGGUAGCUAGCAUGUAUUGAGUGUGCACCACAAGCAAAUCACUGUAUUUGAGUAAACGUGGCAGCAUGUGCAAUUUAAGGGAUUUGCAAAUGUGUGUGUGUGUGUGUGUGUGUGUGAGAGAGAGAGAGAGAGAGAGAGAGAGAGAGAGAGAGAGAAGCUUAGAUGUAAGAAUAAAAUGGAGAGAAAAGUAGCAGGAUAGGAAAAAUGUAAGAUAAUUAAAACAAAAAGGGCUAACAUUUAAUUGUGGGCGUCCUCUGUAAUAGGCACUUUGCACAGACAGAUUUAGAUAUAAUUGAUCUCAUUUACUCUUCACAUAAUACUAUGAGUAGGCAUUAAUAAGCCUUAGAAAGAUCAGUCAAUCUGCAGUGUCUGACAUGUGUGGGUCGGGAUGUGGAGGGGGGUGUAGUCCAGAUUGGCCGGGCAUAGGAGAGGACCGGCUGAGAGAUACACCAUGUACCAGGUGCUCUAAGGAAGCCUUGUCCACCAGCACAGGUGGCCAUUGCCUGUGCCAUGUCCAAGGCCAUCUUUAAUUUUGGUCACAUAGUCCUUAACGGUGUGCAGUAUGAGAUUGCCUUGAGAAGGACCCCAUUUCUUUGAGAAGCUUGAAAACUAAAACACAUUCAGGAUGUGCUGAAGCUCAGCUUCAAAUCAUGUAGCAAGUCCAGAACAAGCCAGGAAAUGGCAGUCAAUGGGUGCCAGUGAAAAUGUCACAGUGAUCCACGGUUGACCACUAGAUGGAGCCCUGAUGGGCACAGUGACAAACCUGAGGACAGCAGGUGCAACCCAAACCAGCCUUCCCAUCCCUCCACCUCCAGGGCACAGAGAAGUUUUUGGGACAUCUAUUUGUCUUUCCAACACUACAAGGCCAAGACACCGUCAAUACCAUGGCUUUUACCCCCCUCCCGUAUGCUUUACCGUGAGUUCAUAGAUCAAACGUAAAAGUUGGAAAGUGUAAGGAAACUUGGAAACUUGCAUGUUCAUCUAGACUUUUACCCCAUUAGCACUUUGGGGAAAAGAGGGAAUCUCCAUUUAAAAUCUCCCCUGAAAUAACCUUGUGGGCUUAUCUGAAAUUAGCACCUUCAGAAGUCUUGCUCUGCCCUCUCAGUUGAGCUCACCUACUUGCAUCUUGAUCUUAUACUCGAUAUGCUCCUCUAGUCAGAUAAGAAGAGUACUGAAGUGAUUCUGGAUUGUAGACCAAACUUAAUGGUAUCUGAGGAUAGGAGUCCAGCCUGGGGUUUAGGAUUUUCCCUUUUUUAUUUGUGUAUGAUUUAGUGUUCAUCCUGCACUAGACACUAAAGUGCAUUGUUUAAUUAUCUGAGCUCAACACACCAUUUUAUAAUUCAUUAGUCAGUUGCUCUUUGCAAAAGCUUAUUUCUUAUGAAACUAAAGUGAGACUCAUGCAACUCGACUAUUUAUCUCUCUUUAGGGGUUGGGGGUUAAUAUCUGAUAGCUCAUAACAUCUUUAUUAUAAUGCAUUUAUAAUGAUUUACUAGAAUCAUUCUAUGGCUAAGUAUCUAAUGUCAAAGCUGGGAUCUGGCAUGAAAUAAAAUGCUAUAUCCUCGGGUAGCUCUAGGGAAAAAAAGGCCUCAGCCAAUAUUUUCUGUGUAAUUCUACAAACUGUAAUAAGGGUAGGGGUAAUUGCCUUAAUGUCAAUUAAGCUAUUAAUAAUGCCCAUCUUGUCAUUCCUAAAUAUAGCAGUGUCUCAAUCAUACAUUACUGUCCCCCCAUUAAGGCUACACAGAAAUGAGAUCAGAGCCUGUGUGGAUGGGGGAGUCUGUCUAAUACUAGUCCUAUCUCCUUUAUAUAAGGGAAGGUUGGGGGUUUAUUUGUGUUUUCGAUGGAUAAUUUUUACCUAGAUGCACAUGCGUGCAUGCGUGUGUGUGUGUGUGUGUGUGUGUGCGUGCGCGCGUGCAUGUGAGGGCAGCAUGGGCAAUAUUCAUGAGCAGAAUGAAUGUGGCCGAAAACACUGUCCCUGCUCCUGUUCUGCUCCUGGAUGACUAGGACAAGUAUGCUCUACCAGGACAAGAGUUCCAGGGGCUGAGCUGCAGGCUGAUGGGUCAGACAGUCCACUAACCACACGGCAUUUCAGCAUCAGGGGACACAUUUUCUGCACUGUUGUAUGUUGCUCCCAGGCUGCAUGGAUGCGUACAAGUUCCUCAAGGACAGACAGACUCAGGGGAAAGAAAAUGAGGCCAAGACAUGGUCACGGAGUAGAAAGGCGGCCAGUGGUUCCUCAGCAAAUUUCAGCAGACAAGGUCAAGGCUAAAGGUAUAUUAGGAAUAGGAAAUAGGAGACGAGCUGUAGGAUUUUGGUGAACAAAGAGAAUGUUGCCAACUCUCUUUAGUCAGGUCUAAACCAGAACACUUAUUUUAUAGAGAAGAAGCAGGAUAAGACCCUUCUUCAGUUGGCACUUAUAAUUCUCCUGGGUGAGGAUUCUGAGGAGCCACUUCCUUCUGUCCCCUUUAUUGGCUGUCUUGGUGAAGUGAACUUCUACUUGAUGAUAUUUAGAGCUCAUUAAUUUGUCCCAAGGAAGCUUACUGUAUGGCAGUUUAAUGACAGAAACCUGUUUUAAUGCAAAUGGACAUGUAAUCCCACUAAGACACUCUGAGGAUGUAAAUUUAAAACAAUUGCUAGGAAGUGACACCAGAGUUUAAUAAGAUGGAAGGCUAGUUUCUAGUUCCUGGCACACCCAGGGGAUCCUGCUUGGACACCCAGCCCUGGCAGUUUUAGUGCAGCUGGCGGUUACCAUGGCAAUUGAAAGCAGAGGGUGCCUCAGAGGCAAGGCAAGCUCCUCUCAGGUGCAAGGAGCUGAGCUCCACAGGGUGGGCAGGGGGCAGGGAAGGGAGAAGACAUGAACAUGUGGGUGAGUGGGGUCUUCUGCUCAUUAUUCCUCAGGGCACAGGUUGUGUGCCUAAGACUGAGAUCCAGGAUGUAGCUUUCUAUCCUGGCUGAUUAUAAAUGUCCAAUUCAGGCAAAUUCUUGCAGAAAGAACAUGAAACCUUGCCUGGGACCCCACUUCUCCCAGCAGGUAAAGGGGGAAGCCUGCUUCUGAGAGGGGUGGCGGGAACGAGACAGAGGCGGGAAUUGUUUGUGAAUAUUUGCCAGAUUAUAAUGCUGUUGGGUACUACAUCAUUCUCCGGAGAGACCUGAAUAAGGUUAUUAUGGGUGAAGUCAUUUUUGUAAUAAAGUUGGCUGUAGCUCUGGGUCAUAAAUCAUGGUUUCUGGUACUAAAAAAAUUACUAAACAUGCCUCUGUUACCACAUACUGUCCUCCUUUUAAAUACUUAGAUUUUACUACAAAUCUCCCAUUGACUGAGAUGGGGAAAUGCACACAAUGAGCAAAGGACUCCUUCCGUCACUGGCAGCAGCCCUGCCAGCAUCUGGGCCUCGCGGAAUGAUUUCCUGAGGUGUGAUGUUAUUUAUGGCGUGCUUUCUCUAUCAAAAAGGCAAACAGCAUCUCAAGUGACCCCGGAGCAUUUGCAUCAUUGCUUCUCUUACUAAUUGAUUCAUCCCCCGGCAGGGCCCAAGACCGGGGCUAUUAGCUGGCCACACUCUCUCCUAGCUGCAGACCCUGUGGAUUGAGAUGCAUAAUAAGCAAAGACAUUAAUAAAAUUGUUAAAUGUCAAAACUGCAAACCCCACACCCAUUUGGAGCCCCGCAGCCCAUCUGGAACGAUACUGUGAAAUACCAUCUCCUCCCCUCGUCCUUUUCAGUCUAAACUUCAUAACCUUUGUUAAGUAAGGGGAUUAAGAACUGUUAUUAACAAUACUGAUUUUCAAAAUUUCUUUCAGAACUUCUUCCUUCCAAAUAAGUCUGGCACAGAAUGAAAAGGAAGGCUAUCAUAUGAAGUGCAUUUCAGGUGUAAUAAAGCAGAAAGGAGACGGUGGCCCCAGUGGCAGUUGUAAGAGGGAUGCAGUGUGGAUCUCUAUAGCUCAGUGGCUGCAAAGCAGAAAAUGAAGAUUGUAAAAACGUCACAUAAAGAAAAAAUGCACAGUGGAUUCGUUUUGCGAUGCCCAUAAUUCAGUAAUGCCUUUAAGUAGCUAGAAGAAAUAUAAUAAAUGUUUUUCCACAACAUUGAUCAUACUGUAUCAGAGGAAAUAUUAGUGUGCAGGGAGCCAUGAUUAUACUGGUAGUAAUUCUCGGUGCAGAAAACUAGUAGAAGAUGGGACCCUUUAUGGGCCGAACUUUUAUUGGCUGCAGUUAUUUACCUUUAAGAAUACGCCUAAUACAUUGUCCUAUAGCUAAAUAUUUUUGUGAAAAUUCAAACCAGCACUAUCAGUAAAUCAGAAAUCCUGCCACCAUUUUAUAGAAUUUAUUUAUAUUUUUUCCUGCAGAUGCUCUGAUAUGUUCCAGAAUACAAAAAGCAGCCAAUUGACCAUGUAAAAUUUCUAGAAGGCCUGUAAAACAGAUUCUUCCUCUGCAUUCUGAACCCGGAUAGAAGCAGACAGCUUUAUAGCAUGUGAUUCCAUCCAAAUGCCACCUGUAUAUAUAACAUUGCUCUAAAGAAAUUAAAUGGAUUAUUAGAUUAUAUGCUGUAGUAAAACUAUACCUGGAGCUGGACUGUGGGCCAGGAGAGGAUGUGCAUGCUGGGCACCUGCCUUUUUUUUUUUUUUUUUGUCUUGAAACACUCAAAAAAGCUUUGCAAAGCAGGCUUUUUCCUUUAGGAAGGAAUAAAGGAACUACUUCUUCAUGCCAACCUCUUGCUCCUCAGACUGGCAGGAGCUGGUAAUGCGUGGCAGUGUCAGCGUUGGUGUAGGAGGUCCCUGCAUGCUAAGGGAAUGUUCUACCUUCACUCUCCACAGGCUCCAGCUGGAUUCCAGAAAAUCUUCCAAUCAGGGUUCUGGGGUGCAUGAGAUAAGAGCCAGGUCAUCCAGACUCCUGCAGAAUUAGAAGGAGAGGUGAGAGCAGACCAUGAUAAUCCUCCAUAUAUUCCUGAUAAAGCCCUGCCAUGAAAAAGACUAAGAAACACUGCAAGCCAGAGAAAGAAUCUCAGAAGAUACCCUGUGAACAGUACAGGAGGGAGGCAUUCUUCAGAGCCUGGAUAACCCAGCUUGGAGUUCAAAGGCUUUGUAAAAGCAAAGCAAACUGGCUGGAUAAACAUAUUCAAUGACAGACCUUGGUGAGAACUGCAAAGAUGCUCUUGACAAUGGCAUGAAUAAAUAUUAGGUGCUGUCCAGAAUUCACUGCACUUGGGAUCUUGAGCAAAGCCAGAAUACAUGGUUUCUGCUUCAAAAAUGAGCCAUAAGAAAAAACUAUAUGUUGAAGAAUGAGAUUCAGCAAUAUCAACGGUCACUUAAUGAAAGAUUUGUAUCCAAAGCAAAAAGAAUAGUGUGCAUCAUUAUGGGUCACUGGAAUUUUUUUUAUCCUCAGGAUUGUUAUUCUACCAGUGAAGAAAAUGUAUUCAGGUCUUUAGUUUUGGAUUUUUGAGCACACACCGUAUCCCUAAAACAGUAGGAAGGAGGAGAAGGAAGAGAUGGAGGAGAAAGAGCAGAAACAGAAGCACAGAGCAAGUAUGGCUUCUGAGCUACAAUGCAUGUACCUCAGGCUUCUGCUACAUCAGUGAAUUUCCUACACUGUUCUCUGCUUUUUAGUUGUCUCACAUUUAGUUGUCUCACAUUAAAAUGUGAGAAGAAGAUGGAUUAAAGAGGUUGGGAGAUCCUCCUGAGAAAUAUACCCACAGGGGUAUGGCCAUUCCAGAAUCUAUGCAAGUCAUUUUGCCUCCUUUUUUUUUUCUCCUAUCUUUAAGAGUGCAAUUUUGAGAGGACAGCUAGAUAAUCUAUCUAAAGCAGUAGUUUCUUUUGUCCUAAAACCACAAAUGCAUUUAAUGUAAACUCCUUUGUUCCAGAAAGGAUCUGAGUUGGUCUUAGAGAAGUUCAAAUGCAAAUUUAAAAUAUUUCUAUGAUUAUUAUAAAUACUACCCAAUAGAUUAAAACAAACAUGGUGACUCAUAAACUUAAUUUUUCUUUAUUUUAUUUUGAAGAAAUCUCUCAAAAUCUUAUUUUUUAAAGGAAAUCUAGCUUGUUCCCAACUAGUUUGUCUUCCUGGUGUCAUUAAUUGAACACAUUCCAAUUUAACGUUUAUUUAACAAAGGUUCAGGAGCCUUGAACUAGGCAUUGGAGGCAGAGGUAGUUGGAAGAGUGUUUGGGAAGCAGAAUUUCUACAACUUGGUGCUGGGUUGGAUAUGGGAAAGUGAGAGAAGGAAGGUGUCAAAGAUGAUGUCCAGAAUGUUUAUGUAUAAAUCAGAAGAAGAAAGCAAUUUGAAGGUCUAAUCAGGGAUUUAUUUUGGAUAAAUUGAAUUUGAAUUUAUCAUGAAAACAUCCAAAAGAAACUAUGAAACUAUGAAACAGCCAAAAGAAAAAACCCAGAAAAAGAACUUAAAGGAAGAUAUGAGGCCCAAAGAGCCCUGGACUUGCAGGCAGAGGACAUCAAUUAAGGCCCUGACUCUGCUCCAACAAGGUGUGGCCCCAGGCAAGGGCCUAUUCUGCCGGGUCUUGGUUUCCUUAACUGAAAAGUGAAAAUAUGAUAUUAACAGCUCUCUUGUCAGUGUAAAGGAAGACAGAAAAGUAAUCUUUUCAAGGCAUUUUAUAAGUAGCUACUCUAUUCCUUGUUAGGGCAAAAGGCAUAAGCAGUAACACAAAGAGACAAACUGGGUGUUCUCUCUCAUUGGGGCUUUGGAAGCCACAGGCUAUGAUGAAGACACAGCCAAGUCUGAGGAUAACCUAUGCACAAUUAGUCCUGAAAAUUGAACAGAAAUGCCAGCAAGAAACCCUUAGCACAAAACCACUAAUUUCUUAAGGGAGUAACCCCAAAUUCCUGAGAAAUGUGUACUUUGUCAGGAAAUGCAAGAAGAAGGGUCUGAAGAAGAUUUGGGGUACCAACGCUCAAAGAUCUGAAGGGAUGUUGGAAGCAAACUCAGUCAACUUGCCUACAUCACCCACCCUAAACUUCCUUCUUUAAUUAUCCACCUUCAUGAGGAGGCCCUACAACCAUGACCUCAGAAUUACUGUGGAGAAAGGUCUCCGGAGAUUCCUGGUUAAUUAGGGUGAAGCCCCUGGGGACAGGAAUCAUGGCUCUGGGCUUAUGGGCUUUCAGUGAAUAUGAGUUGAUGGAGAUUGAACAUUACUAUAUUACUACUAGGUUUUACAUUUGUGGGAAGGAGGAGAUUUUAGUCAGUUGAGAGAAAACAUCUUCUUUGCUGCUCACUUGCGUGUGGAACCAUCUCCUACCCCAACAGAGUCCAUCACCAACUUGUCCACAGACUCCAAGAAGGGGCAGAGGCUGUGGAAAGAUGAGGGAGGAGCUAGUUUCCCACCACCACCAUUCAUGUUUCCCCAGGGUGGGUUCUUUUUCUAUACCAAUGUGUAGAAGAAAAUCUGUAUAUGACCAACUUUUCCUGACCACCCUAACCAAGCAGGAAUCCUGGCUGCCGGUGGUGGUAGAGAUGGUUCUGGUUAUUGUAGAGCUUAUGGGAGGGGGCAGAAAGCAGCUUCCCUUACACAGGAUCUAAGGUGGCUCAUUCUUGAAGAACAGAUUCUGUUUGUGAAAAGCAGACUUUAUGAAAUUUGAAUAGUUAUUAAACUCCAAUGUUGGAGCGGAAUACACAUACAUCUAAAAUUCUCAGCCUUUUCAGUUUAUUUGGGGGGAAUAACUUUAAAGUAGUAGAUACAGGACUUGUACUUGGAUAAUGUCUUGUGAUAGUUUGGGGUCCCCUAAAGGUUCAGGCAGUAAAGGCUUGGUACCCAGAAUGGUGCUACUGGGAGAUGUUUUGGACCAUUGGGAGGCCUCCAGGUUCUCAUCUGUGUGGUCUUUAAGGAGAUUUUGGGUCCCCAGCCUCCUCCUUCUCCUCUUCUGCACCCUGGCCACAAGGCAGUUUUCUUCAGGAUGGCCUCUCCACUAUUGCCAUCUGGCUUGUCCUCCGGAAGCCCAAAGCAAUGAGUCUUCCCGAUUUUAGACUAGAGCUUCUAAACCAGGACCUAAAAAUGAACCUUUUCUCUUUAUAUGUUAAUCAUCUGAUAUCUUGCUGUAGUGACACAAAGCCAAAAACAUGUAUCUCUCUGGUGUGAUGUGUUUUGUUGUGUUGUCUUUGCUCCUUGAACAUUUUUUCCUUCUGUGUUAUCCUUGAGAAUUUCCAAAUGCAACAACAAAAAAUAAAAACUGAAGUCAAACUAUCUCCAUAUUUUCCAACUGAAUGCUGUGUCUAUGCUGCUAAUCUUUCCAUCUAUGUUAUAUGGCCAAUAUGUAAACACAAAACUUGUAUUUCUGGGAUAUUAAAUUUCUAUUCUUUGAUUAUUAGUCCCUAGCAUAUUUGGCAUGAUAUCUUAAAAUAGCCUAAUAAAGAAUAAGUCAUUAGCAAACUUUCACAGCUACACAAGGAAUCACUGUAAGCAGACUUAAUGCUAAUCUUCCCCAUGUAUCUGUAUAGGGUAGACCAUGUAUCACCCUAAGGGUAGUGGAAGAUUAUUUGCUACUUUUUGUGGGUAAAGCACUUAGGACAGUAUGUCCUAUAUAACCCCUUUCUUCUCCCUCUCCUCCCUCACCCACUCUUCCCUCCUUUCUCCUUUCCUCCUCCUCCUUCUUUUAUUAACACUACUGUUAGUAUUGAAAACCCUAAGAGCUGUGUUGUACUAGGGCUCAGCUGGCCAAGUUCCCUUAGACCUGCCACCCCCUGGCAGCGAACCAAGCACAUAUGUAGUACACGAGCUGUUUGCCUUCUGUUUGUGAGCGUCCUCUUCAAAGCCAUCUCGGAGGGUGCCUAUUUUUGCCGUGGCUGGCUUUUAAGUACUGUCUGAGUGUCAGAGGGAAGCCCUGUCCCCACAAAGCCCUGCUUCUCAAACUAUGCACAGGAAAUGUCAGUUCUUUUUUAUUUCCAAUCUGUCACCAAUUGAUAUUUGGUAAAGUGUGAUAAAAGUAACUUAAAGUGGAAAUAAAAAAACAAUGCCUGUAAAAUUCAAGUCCCCUUUUUAUUAUGAAUUUCAACAGACAUAAUAAACAUAUGCUUCGCAGUGGCUCUCCACACCUUAAAUGGUCCCGGUCAGUACUGUAGCCAACAGAUGACAGGUCUCAGGCCUCACUCUGAGCAGCCAUGCCAUGGAGGACAGUCAGGACCCUGGGGAGGGACCAGGAAGGCUGACUGUCUCCAUACCGGUUUCCUUCCACAAUGCUCUGAGGCUCCCAUCCAACAGUGAGCUCUGUAGGUCAGCAGAUGGAGGGAAGGGGGUCAAACCACCCAUGUGAAGCUGGCACAUGGGAGGGGGCUCAGAAAGGCCACCGGGAGAAGCGACUUUCUGCUGCACCUGCUGGCCAUUCUCACAGACGGGGAGUUAAGCACAGCUAAGCCGUGGGCUGUUUAGUGGCGACGCACAGGUGUGG
rnacentral:lncRNA from 1 species